rnacentral:rRNA from 1 species
GUGAUGCCCAGCUUGCUGGGUGGAUCAGUGGCGAACGGGUGAGUAACACGUGAGCAACCUGCCCCCUACUUCGGGAUAAGCCUUGGAAACGAGGUCUAAUACCGGAUAUGAGCAUUCACCGCAUGGUGGGUGUUGGAAAGUUUUUCGGUGGGGGAUGGGCUCGCGGCCUAUCAGCUUGUUGGUGGGGUAAUGGCCUACCAAGGCGUCGACGGGUAGCCGGCCUGAGAGGGCGACCGGCCACACUGGGACUGAGACACGGCCCAGACUCCUACGGGAGGCAGCAGUGGGGAAUAUUGCACAAUGGGCGAAAGCCUGAUGCAGCGACGCCACGUGAGGGAUGACGGCCUUCGGGUUGUAAACCUCUUUCAGCAGGGAAGAAGCGAAAGUGACGGUACCUGCAGAAGAAGCGCCGGCUAACUACGUGCCAGCAGCCGCGGUAAUACGUAGGGCGCAAGCGUUGUCCGGAAUUAUUGGGCGUAAAGAGCUCGUAGGCGGUCUGUCGCGUCUGGUGUGAAAUCCCAUGGCUCAACUGUGGGCUUGCAUCGGGUACGGGCAGACUAGAGUGCUGUAGGGGAGACUGGAAUUCCUGGUGUAGCGGUGGAAUGCGCAGAUAUCAGGAGGAACACCGAUGGCGAAGGCAGGUCUCUGGGC